rnacentral:pre_miRNA from 1 species
AAUCCAGUGAAAAUAUUUCUGAACUAAGUAGAAUACUGAAACUAAUGUCUAGAAGUUUUUCUGCUAAAUU